rnacentral:rRNA from 1 species
CCUACGGGAGGCUGCAGUGGGGAUUAUUGGGCAAUGGAGGCAACUCUGACACAGCAACGCCGCGUGAAUGAUGAAGGUCUUCGGAUUGUAAAGUUCUUUUCUAAGGGAAGAAGAAAGUGACGGUACCUUAGGAAUAAGCCUCGGCUAACUACGUGCCAGCAGCCGCGGUAAGACGUAGGAGGCAAGCGUUAUCCGGAAUGACUGGGCGUAAGGGGUGCGUAGGUGGUUUGACAAGUUAGUAGCGCAACUCCGGAGCUUAACUUCGGAACUACUACUAAAACUGUUGGACUUGAGUGCAGGAGGGGCAAUCGGAAUUCCUAGUGUAGCGGUGGAAUGCGUAGAUAUUAGGAGGAACACCAGUGGCGAAGGCGGAUUGCUAGACUGUAACUGACACUGAGGCACGAAAGCGUGGGGAGCAAACAGGAUUAGAUACCCGUGUAGUC